UUAAAUUGAAGAGUUUGAUCAUGGCUCAGAUUGAACGCUGGCGGCAGGCCUAACACAUGCAAGUCGAACGGUAACAGGAAGAAGCUUGCUGCUUUGCUGACGAGUGGCGGACGG
rnacentral:rRNA from 1 species